UCAAAGGCCCUUUUCAGAGCCACUCGAUUUCUGAGAAAGAGCUAGU
rfam:Gorilla gorilla gorilla genomic chromosome, chr6, whole genome shotgun sequence